CAUGCCUAAUACAUGCAAGUCGAGCGGUCCCUUCGGGGAUAGCGGCGUGACGGGUGAGUAACACGUAGGCAACCUGCCUAUAAGACUGGGAUAACUAUCGGAAACGAUAGCUAAGACCGGAUAACUGGUUUUCUCGCAUGAGAGAAUCAUGAAACACGGAGCAAUCUGUGGCUUAUAGAUGGGCCUGCGGCGCAUUAGCUAGUUGGUGAGGUAACGGCUCACCAAGGCGACGAUGCGUAGCCGACCUGAGAGGGUGAACGGCCACACUGGGACUGAGACACGGCCCAGACUCCUACGGGAGGCAGCAGUAGUGGAAUCUUACCGACAAUUGGACGCAAGUCUGACGGAGCAACGCCAGACGUGAGUGAUGAAGGUACAACGGAUCGUAAAGCUCUGUAUGCCCUAGACGAACAGCAAGGAGAGUAACCGGUCUUNGUGUGACGGUAUACGGAGAAAGAAAAGCCCCAGGGCUUAACUAC
rnacentral:rRNA from 1 species